rnacentral:rRNA from 1 species
UACGUAGGGUGCAAGCGUUGUCCGGAAUUAUUGGGCGUAAAGCGCGCGCAGGUGGUUUCUUAAGUCUGAUGUGAAAGCCCACGGCUCAACCGUGGAGGGUCAUUGGAAACUGGGGAACUUGAGUACAGAAGAGGAAAGUGGAAUUCCAAGUGUAGCGGUGAAAUGCGUAGAGAUUUGGAGGAACACCAGUGGCGAAGGCGACUUUCUGGUCUGUAACUGACACUGAGGCGCGAAAGCGUGGGGAGCGAACAGG